UCAAUCAUAGGAACUUUGAUCUCCAAUUUCUUGAAGAUCUUCAUGAAGCACAUAAAUUUCUUUUCCUUCCUAUGAUAUUUCUUUUGAUGAGGAAGGGGUUUUUCAUAUGAUCUUUUCUUUUUUCCUUUCAUCCUCUUUUUCUUACUCUCCUUCUCAUUCAACUUUCUCUUUUUCUUUUUUCUUUCUUUCUUCUUUAUUUUCGCAUAUUCUCUCUCUUUUUCUUUUCUCUCAACCACUUCUUUUUCUUUCUCAUCAUCUUUCUCUUGCUCACUCAACCUUUCUGUUUCUUUUUCCUCUAUCUUUUCCUCCUCUAUCUUCUCCUCCUUUCUCUCCAUUUUUCUCCUCUAUCUUCUCCUCAUCUAUCUCUAUCUUUUC
rnacentral:lncRNA from 1 species